rnacentral:lncRNA from 1 species
AUAGGUUGGACUCAGCUAUAUCUGAAACUCUCAGACCUGUGCAAAAGCAGUGAGGGAUGCACUGAAGGCAGAAUUCAAAGCAAAUGCCAAGAAGACUUCUGGCAGCAGCAUAAAACUUGUGAAAGUAAAAAAGGAAUAAUCAACCUUGACUAAAGCUUGAAAUGCUACAUUUUCAAGGUGAAGAAGUAUGGGCACAUGUUAUAGCAGAUUAAAAUCAUCUCACUUCAUAAAAAAAAAACUGUCUUGUUCAUAAAUUGACGAUGCCAAUAAAUUGAUGUGUGGU